AUAGAAUCAUUGCUGCGGUUAAAAAGCUCGUAGUUGGAUCUGUGCAGUGGAUGUCGGUCCACCUUCGGGUGCGUACUGGCUAUCCCUGCUUUCACUGUCAGUUUGCCCCGGCGUCGCCUUCAUUGGUGGCGACGGGUGGCUGACGAUUUUACUUUGAACAAAUCAGAGUGCUUAAUACAGGCGUUUCGCUUGAAUGUUCUUGCAUGGAAUAAUAGAAAAGGAUUUCGGUUCUAUUUUAUUGGUUUUGUGGACUGAGAUAAUGGUUAACAGGGACAAACGGGGGCAUUCGUAUCGAUGCGUGAGAGGUGAAAUUCUUGGACCGUAUCGAGACGCCCUACUG
rnacentral:rRNA from 1 species